GACGAACGCUGGCGGCGUGCCUAAUACAUGCAAGUAGAACGCUGAAGGAGGAGCUUGCUUCUCUGGAUGAGUUGCGAACGGGUGAGUAACGCGUAGGUAACCUGCCUGGUAGCGGGGGAUAACUAUUGGAAACGAUAGCUAAUACCGCAUAAUAGUAGAUGUCGCAUGACAUUUGCUUAAAAGGUGCAAUUGCAUCACUACCAGAUGGACCUGCGUUGUAUUAGCUAGUUGGUGAGGUAACGGCUCACCAAGGCAACGAUACAUAGCCGACCUGAGAGGGUGAUCGGCCACACUGGGACUGAGUCACGGCCCAGACUCCUACGGGAGGCAGCAGUAGGGAAUCUUCGGCAAUGGACGGAAGUCUGACCGAGCAACGCCGCGUGAGUGAAGAAGGUUUUCGGAUCGUAAAGCUCUGUUGUAAGAGAAGAACGAGUGUGAGAGUGGAAAGUUCACACUGUGACGGUAUCUUACCAGAAAGGGACGGCUAACUACGUG
rnacentral:rRNA from 1 species